CUCGGGGCCAGGAGCUGUUUUUUGUGUUUUUACCUUUCUUGCCCCCUGGUUACACAAGUCAUCAGAGUCCAGUGGCAAGAUAUAAAUCAAGACAACUGGCUAUGGCCCAGGGUGCAGUGGGGGACCUCGGCCUUUUGAAACUAAGGUCUUUCCCAGAUCUCAGUUUGUCUGAGGCAACAUCCAUUCAGUGAUUGGAGGCUAGGCCACAUCUUGGGGUACGGUAUUCAGUCCUGAAAGGACUGAUGGAAAAGGAAACAUGUAAAGAUGGAGACAAGAUAGAGGACACCCAAAAGAGAGCCAACAUGAUGGUGAGAGAAUGUGCCAUCCUGAAAUCAAUCAGCUGAAGGAACUGGGGAUGGUUUCUAGCUUCCAGUACUUCAAAGGACUGUCAAGAAGAAAAAGGAUCAGCUUUACUCUGCAUGGCCCCAAAGGCAGAGAAAUAGAAGCUAGGGGUGAGACUUGUUGAAGAAGCAAGAAUUGGCGUAAUGUAAGGACAGAGUGGGCCACAACUAGUCAGUUAGUCAAUUAGCUCCAUUAAGCACCUGCUAUGUAGCCAGGAACCCAGAUUAGAACCAUCCCAAAGUGGAAUUCAUAGUAGUAGAUUUUCCUUUAUUGCAUGUAUGGGUGGAUCGGAUGACCUCUAAGAUAUUCAGCUAUUUUCUGGCUGAGUUCAAAUGCAGCCUCAGACACUUACUAGCUGUGUGACCCUG